AACGAACGCUGGCGGCAGGCUUAACACAUGCAAGUCGAGCGCCCUCUUCGGAGGGAGCGGCGGACGGGUUAGUAACGCGUGGGAACGUGCCUUUCGCUACGGAAUAGCCCAGGGAAACUUGGAUUAAUACCGUAUACGCCCUUUUGGGGAAAGAUUUAUCGGCGAGAGAUCGGCCCGCGUUGGAUUAGGUAGUUGGUGGGGUAAUGGCCUACCAAGCCGACGAUCCAUAGCUGGUUUGAGAGGAUGAUCAGCAACACUGGGACUGAGACACGGCCCAGACUCCUACGGGAGGCAGCAGUGGGGAAUCUUGGACAAUGGGGGCAACCCUGAUCCAGCCAUGCCGCGUGGACGAUGAAGGCCUUAGGGUUGUAAAGUCCUUUCGCUAGGGAAGAUAAUGACGGUACCUAGUAAAGAAGUCCCGGCUAACUCCGUGCCAGCCGCCGCCGUAAAAC
rnacentral:rRNA from 1 species